UACGGAGGGGGCUAGCGUUGUUCGGAAUUACUGGGCGUAAAGCGCACGUAGGCGGACUGUUAAGUCGGGGGUGAAAUCCUGGGGCUCAACCUCAGAAUUGCCUCCGAUACUGGCAGUCUCGAGUGCGGGAGAGGUGAGUGGAAUUCCCAGUGUAGAGGUGAAAUUCGUAGAUAUCAGGAGGAACACCAAUGGCGAAGGCAGCUCGCUGGACCGGAACUGACGCUGAGGCGCGAAAGCGUGGGGAGCGAACAGG
rnacentral:rRNA from 1 species